UGGGGAAUAUUGGGCAAUGGGCGCAAGCCUGACCCAGCAACGCCGCGUGAGGGAAGAAGGUCUUCGGAUUGUAAACCUCUGUCCUUGGGGACGAAAAACAUGACGGUACCCAAGGAGGAAGCUCCGGCUAACUACGUGCCAGCAGCCGCGGAAAUACGUAGGGCGCGAGCGUUGUCCGGAAUUACUGGGCGUAAAGGGUGCGUAGGCGGCAGAGUAAGUCAGAUGUGAAAUCCCCGGGCUUAACUCGGGGGCUGCAUUUGAAACUGCUGUGCUUGAGUACGGGAGAGGAAAGCGGAAUUCCUAGUGUAGCGGUGAAAUGCGUAGAUAUCAGGAGGAACACCAGUGGCGAAGGCGGCUUUCUGGACUGUCACUGACGCUGAGGCACGAAAGCGUGGGGAGCAAACA
rnacentral:rRNA from 1 species